AUAAAAUUUUCAUAGUUUUGGCUCUGAUUUUAAAUCUUAUUUACUUUAACAACAAGCUCUGUAACCAGGAUCAGAGAGCAAGGGCUCUCUUGCUAAAUCAGCCUGUCUUUCUAGCCUGAGCAGAGGAGAAUCAAGGGAUUACGCUGGAGACACUGAAGUGGCUAGUGUGUGGUCCCCUAGCUGUGCUGUGUACAGAGCUGUUCACUGGCUCUGAAGCGAACUAGAUGCUUUCAAAUUCAGGCUUUUUUUUUUUUUCUCACAAGCUCUGGAACUAUAGGCAAAACAUUUUAACUUGACGCUUCAGUUCUCACGUAUAGCAAAGAAUAAUGACACUGACUUCAGAGUCUCUCUGUAGUUUAAAUGAAAGAAUCAGCAACAGGGGAAGCAAGAGUGGCCACUCGCCAAAGCAGCUCUAGAAGCCCCCUUUUUCGAGUGCCUUCACAAGAAGUGAUUAAAAAAAUACAGUGAAUGCUGCUGCUGAGUGCUAUCCAAAAGAAGGGCGGGCUUACAAGAGCAUUAUGCAGUGUUUUCAUCUGCUGCAUAUACUAGAUAUGCCACCACGUGAGUUUGGGUUCUUCUGAAAAGUCAUAAUGACCACAAAAGGUAAAUGAAUCCAUUCAGGACAUCGAAACAGCCGAACAGCACAACUAAAACACUCAUGAAGAAGGACUUCUGGAACUGCUUCAGAAGGUGGCAAGAACGAUGGGAUUCCGCUGUCACCUGGAGCUGCGAAUGCCAGCCAUGGUUCACCUCACCAUGUUCCUCAACAAUGCUGCAGCCUUUGGGCUGCCUCUUCUAGUGACUUGUAUACAAACUUCCAAAUAUGGCAGAAAGGUUCUGUGCUCUGGG
rnacentral:lncRNA from 1 species